UACGGAGGGGGCAAGCGUUGUCCGGAUUUAUUGGGCGUAAAGAGCGUGUAGGCGGCUUGGUAGGUCCGCUGUGAAAACUCGAGGCUCAACCUCGAGAUGUCGGCGGAAACCACUUGGCUAGAGUCCGGAAGAGGAGAGUGGAAUUCCUGGUGUAGCGGUGAAAUGCGCAGAUAUCAGGAAGAACACCUAUGGCGAAGGCAGCUCUCUGGGACGGUACUGACGCUGAGACGCGAAAGCGUGGGGAGCGAACAGG
rnacentral:rRNA from 1 species